UAACAACAAUAUCAUUUUACAAAAAUUGCAUUGAAAAAAAUUAUAAGAAUGGAAAAUGAAAAUAUUUGCAUCCGGCAGAAGAGAAAAUUCAGUUUUAAACUACACUUUUUCUAAAAAUUUGCUCUCAGGUCGUAAGCAAUAUAUAUUAUAAACGUUAUAAAGUAUCUUCUAUUGGACAAUUUGCAACCACGACUAAAGUUUUCGGAAUCUCUCGCGUCGCAGCUUUCUUAUAUAAACGCGACUUUGAAGAUAUAUCGAUACGCAGUUUUUUGAAUCCAUCCACUAUCCUUCCUCCAUCAUUGACCGGUUCAUGUACGACUCGUAAAAGCAAAUGACUUGAGCACUCCAGAUGAAACCGGUAAAAGCCGGUGUGUUGCAGUGUGAUAUCGGUCGUUGAAAGGUGGCAUCGGUCAACUGCUUGUUCGUUCAAAGUUGCACACACGGUUUAAUUCAAUCCAUCCCAUUUUAAUAAUCUUUCGUGACUCUUAAUAUUCCGAUAUUUGUGAAAUCAUGUAAGAUUUGUUAUCCAUGUCAUCUAAAUUAUAUCGCAGUCUAUUUUGUAAUCAAUUUAAUUGCAAACUUCAUAAUCUUUAACAUUAAAAUAUCGUUAGAGGCUAA